CCUGGUAUGUUGUGUCCCAGUCAGUGCUUUGCUGCCCUGGAACCAGCAUUGUGUUCAUGGAUUCAUUCAUUUCUCCAUCCAGGAAGUACUCAUUGAGCAACUAGUAGUACCAGGCUCUUAAGAUCUUCCAGUGAAUAAAAUAGAUAAAAGUAAUUUUUAAGAACCUUGUAUUUUAAAAAUACUGGUGCAGCUGGAGCAGAGAGGAGGGGAAAGGAUGGGAGAUGCAGCCAAAAGGUAGCAGGAGGCCAGAUGAUGGAGGACUAUGGAGGCCAUCGUUCGAACUUUGGCUCUUUUGCUGAGUGGUGUGGGAAGCAAUUGGAGGUGCUUUGAAUGGCACAAUCUGACAUAAUUUACUUGGGUCACUCUAGCAAUAGUGUGGAGACAAGAUUGGUCCUCAAUAGUACUGUUCGGCUAAUGGUAGGAUUGUGUUGUCUAGCCCUCCUGUAGGUGGGACUGUGUGACUAAUAUUAGCCAAGGGGUUAUAAAAGAUAGGAACACCAUUCACUUUCAGAUGGAGAAUCAGAUUUCUGUUGUGAAACAGAAAUGAAAAGCUGCAUUUUUACUUCACCACAGCAACUUAUAAGAAUCCAGAUAGUGACUCCUCUAUCAUCAGGAGUAAAGACCACAUGGAGCAGAGGCCCUGACUGACCUGCAAUGGACAUAAAAUGAAUUCCUAAACAUACGAAAAAAUAAAGUUACCAUCAUCCUGGAAGAAUUGUAUAGGAAAAUGUUGGAGACCCACUGAAAGUUAAUAGCUACCCAUUCUAAUAGAAGACAGGCACAUACACUGAAUGAUCUCCUGAGUCUAUUGCAAUAGAACGAUUAUCCUUCUUUAUUACAACUUCCUGCUCUCAUUUCCCCUGCUAUCCUAAAAAAAAAAGGUAAGUAAAGCAAAGAUACAAAAUUAGGUUAUAAACCAGAUCAUAUAUGACAACAGAACUCUAGUCCAAAUCCUCUGUAGCAACCAGCUGAUGAAUCAAAACCACAACUUCUGUAGCAAUCAUACCAGAAUACUCAAAACUUGGCUAAUGACUACCAACUUCUCGGUUUCUUAUUCACUCAACCAGAGAAAGACAAGCAUGUUCCUGAAAGCAAUCAUAUAAGAUAUCCUACUUCUAAUUAGUCCACCUGUAGCUUCUCCAUCCCAACAACCUCUAUUACAGUAUACCUGAAUCCUCCCUCCACAUUUUUUUUGCUACAAAGCUUUUUCACUCUUUUGCCUGCCUUUGAAUCUCUGUGAAAUUGAAAUCAUGGUGACUCCAUUACUAUAGAAAGCUCUAAAACAUAUAGCCUCUGUUUGUUCCCACUUGGGUGGUCUUCCUGUAUUUUUGCAGUUUUCCUGGAGGAUCCACCAAGAUAUAACCUGAACUGUUCAUCAUUAUGGGGCCCACACUUUGGUGUAAAAUUACCCAUGGAGUGCCCUGAAUCUUGUUGAUCACAAUGAGUGGAGGCUGUGCUGACAUAGUAAACCAGCACCUGGUCUGAACUCUGCUGUCUUUUUGUUGAGCUCCACAGCUAUUUAUUCUGCUUGGCACCCAGGUUUUGUUAUUGCUUCCCAGAUUUUGGCAUUCUUGUUAGAAUCAGGCCAUUCAUUUUCAUCCUGUUCUCCUCCCUUUUGUGCUUCUGUUUUGUGCUAUCUAAAAUUGUUGUUAGUCAAAGGGAGAAUCACAGAUUUGAACACAACCAUGCCUUAUAACCCUGUUACAUAAGUCAGCCACACAAACAGGUGAGUGUUGUUCUCACUGGACAGGCAUCAUUUUGGACAAACUUUGCUCUGGGUCACCAGUAAUAUUAGACAAAGCUCUUUUUCCAUCUAGAUUUUCGGUCCUGAUGUUUUGGCUUUGACACAGAAAGAACAAUAUUUCUGGUUUUCUUUCUGAUGUGGAGUGAAGAUUGUCUAGUCUGAAUUUAAAAAUGGCCAACUAUUAGAUUUGGUGCCUGAGACAGGAAAUGGACAAGCAUCACUUUUUGACCAGCUAUUGCCAAAUCUUAUGAGACCA